GAUUCAAUAGUCUAGUUGGUUAGGGCACCGCAUUGUGGUUCCUCGUACAUGGGACUCACCCUCCCGUAUGCAUAGUCCAAUCCUGCGGAUACCCGUGUUCGAAUCACGGUUGGAUCA